UAGCACUGAAGAUGAUGAUGG
rnacentral:miRNA from 1 species